rnacentral:miRNA from 1 species
UGUUGGAACGGCUCAAUCAAA